CCUACGGGAGGCAGCAGUGGGGAAUCUUGUGCAAUGGACGAAAGUCUGACACAGCCACGCCGCGUGCGGGAAGAAGGCCUUCGGGUUGUAAACCGCUUUCAGCAGGAACGAAAAUGACGGUACCUGCAGAAGAAGAUGCGGCCAACUACGUGCCAGCAGCCGCGGUGAUACGUAGGCAUCAAGCGUUGUCCGGAUUUAUUGGGCGUAAAGAGCUCGUAGGCGGUUCAGCAAGUCGGGUGUGAAAACUCUGGGCUUAACCCAGAGCCUGCACUCGAAACUGCUGUGACUAGAGUUCGGUAGGGGAGCAGGGAAUUCCUAGUGUAGCGGUGAAAUGCGCAGAUAUUAGGAGGAACACCAAUGGCGAAGGCACUGCUCUGGGCCGAUACUGACGCUGAGGAGCGAGAGCGUGGGUAGCAAACAGGAUUAGAUACCCUGGUAGUCCACGCCGUAAACCGAUGGGCGCUAGGUGUGGGUCUCUAACCAACGAGAUCUGCGCCGUCGCUAACGCAUAAGUGCCCGCCUGGGGNGGUACGGUCGCGAGACGUUAAACGUACGAAGUUAGUAGUUGCGNGNGNGACGACGCGACGACGACGGAGAGGNG
rnacentral:rRNA from 1 species